AACGAACGCUAUCGGUAUGCUUAACACAUGCAAGUCGGACGGACUAAUUAGGGCUUGCUCCAAUUAGUUAGUGGCAGACGGGUGAGUAACACGUGGGAAUCUGCCCAUCAGUACGGAAUAACUUUUAGAAAUAAAAGCUAAUACCGUAUAUUCUCUACAGAGGAAAGAUUUAUCGCUGAUGGAUGAGCCCGCGUCAGAUUAGGUAGUUGGUGAGGUAACGGCUCACCAAGCCGACGAUCUGUAGCUGGUCUGAGAGGAUGAUCAGCCACACUGGGACUGAGACACGGCCCAGACUCCUACGGGAGGCAGCAGUGGGGAAUAUUGGACAAUGGGCGAAAGCCUGAUCCAGCAAUACCGAGUGAGUGAUAAAGGCCCUAGGGUUGUAAAGCUCUUUUAGCAAGGAAGAUAAUGACGUUACUUGCAGAAAAAACCCCGGCUAACUCCGUG
rnacentral:rRNA from 1 species